ensembl:snRNA U2 U2 spliceosomal RNA
AUCGCUCCUUAGCCCUUUGGUUAAGAUCGAGUGUAAUAUCUGUUCUUAUCAGUUUAAAACAAAAAAGUGUAAGAAUUAUACUUUUAUAAUAAAAGUAUAAGAACAUUU